AGAGGCUUUUUUCAUUGAACCUGCUACAUUUCUUUCAGUAACCCACAGAUACUGACUUUUCAAUGAAAUAUUUUCUUGGAGGGCAGUUGUUUUUGCCAGCACAGCCUGUAUAAUAUUUCAGAAGUGCAAGAUGUGAUAGAGAUCCAAGCGCGUGGGGUACUUGGGCAGCUGCAAGCUGUGGCAUAUGAACCUCAAUGGCUGCACUAAAGCCAGCGAGCACACCCACAACUGAGUGCAGGUCCUGGUCUUGCCAGCUUUCCAGAAGACCACGGUCUCUUGCUCUAUUUUCUGGCUCUCCACCCUAUUAAAUACCCUCAGGCAUACAUAGAGGAAAGUACGGAAAGAAGAUACAUCAUAGGAAAAUGGGUUUUCUUUCUGCUGGAAGCAGGGUAGCAAAGCCUCCAUCUGCCUGAGUGCUCUGUAACAUAAGUUGAACAAGCUGGUAUAUCCUCAGGGCAGGCUGUUUUCUUUGCAGUUUUCUUACAGAGAUAGAGGGAGAUAAGGGUAGAGGCAGGGGCCUGCUCAGGAGAUGGGAAGACUCUGGAGAAAGCCCCAAGGAAUAUUGGGUUGUUGCAACAUCUCAAGACAACAAGACAACAUGCCCAGGUAUAUCAAAUCAAAAGAACAGAAGAGACUUUGUGAAUGUAAGAGGCAUGCAGAAGGAGUAAACUACAAGGAAAUGGGACUUAUGGUCCCCUCACAAAUCCCCUUGCAAGCAGAAGAUUAAUAGGGAGCUGAUAGAGGUGACUCCAGUCAUGCUGCUUGCUCUCCUGCUACAUGUGUGACUCCAGUCAUGCUGCUUGCUCUCCUGCUACAUGUUCCUGAGCAUGGGGGGCUGACACUGUGAUAUGUCAGAUCUCAAGGUGGAGCUGUUUGCUGAUCUGGUCUCCUCCUUCCCUGUCUGUCCAGGGAAGAAGGGAGCAAGGAGAUGGUGGGCUCUGCAAGUGUGUCAUGCUGGUUUGAUGUGCCACUUAGGUAAAAAAUUUCUUUAUUAGCUCUGAAGAGCAUGACGAAUACUU